GAGGGAGGAGCCCUGUCACCACUCUGGCCCAGAUGAGGUGUCAACCAUACUAGCUGAGCUGAAGCUGGCUUGAACUAUGCCCUGCUAUCUCCUUGCCCUUCUCCUGGGCACUUUCUUAGCAAAAGGGAGCAGAGAAGCGGAUGGUGACCAAAGACACACCAGAGACGAGGAAAAAGCUGAGGACAUGCGUAUAUUAUGCGCCAUUGGAUCUGCAGAGGAAAAUCUGAGACGGCCACGCAUGGUGAUCCAGACAGUAUUUAGGAAUUCCUGGGGGCUCUCACAGCCUGCUUCUGCAUUAAGCAGCUCUCCCGUGCUGGGAACUCUGAGCCAUCAGAGGGAUCAGAAAGAAAAACGAAGUGCACUCAGGAUGGUGCUGGGUGGAGUCACAGCAUGGCUUAAUCAAGGCACUUGGUUUACUCCCCCCCCCCCCCUUUAUGGAAAUACUCAGUUACUAAGGCAAGCGGUAGUGCCACGACAGUAAAAGUAAA